CUUCCUUUUUUUCUUUCUUCCUCCUUCACUUUCUCUUUCAACACCUCCGGUUUCUCUCUCAAUCUCAAGUUCUCAAUCUCCCUCACCGAAAACACACUUCUCCCUCACCCAAAUCAAUCCCCAGCACCAUACCCCUAUCACCUCACACCCAACCACCCUCAUCUCUCAAUUCUCACCACCGAGAAGCCCCCCGCCAUCGCCGUCUCUUUGUUCCGGUGAAACUCCAAGCUUCGCCGCUGCCAUCAUCACCAGCAGCGAGCUCUAAGCCAAAGGCCGAGCUCUCUUCUUCUCCUCUCGGUUCAUCCCUCUCUUCUUGGAGUUCUCUAUUUCCCUCAUCUCCAGCUAAUUUAGGCCAAGGAGAUUCGGAUCCACCACCGGCGACAUUCCGGCGAGUUUCCAGUCACCUUUUCCGGCCAUGGUUUCACCGAAAAUUCUUGGAAAUCUCCCAAGCUCUUUGCCAUUUCUCUCUCUCUCACUUGGGUACUUAUCCUUAAAAUAAGCUAACUCCGCCAAAUAAGAGUAUAAUUGAAGUAAUUCUGGGAUGAAUCAAAGAAAGGAGCAAAGUAGAGCAAAAGGAAGCAAAUGGUGGAAUUUCAGCAACUUCGAUCGAUCUCAAGAAAAGUUCGAUCGAUCCAACAUUCAUCGAUCUCAGCACUUCAAGAUAGAUCUGAGCCAUGUUUGUCCCUGUUCAAAGAUCUCAAAAGUUCGAUCGAUCCAACUUCCUUCUUCGAUCGAUCAAACAUUCUUGUCCUUAUCCAAAUGAUUGAUUUUAUCCAAUUGUACCACCCUACCAACUGCUUUUGUCCUUUUCCCAAAAAUAUCUUCAAAAUAUCUUAGAUUUAUUUUUAUCCAAAAAGGCGCCGCCAUUGAAGAUCGAUCCAGCUUCAGUUCGAUAGAUCUCAACCAUGUUCGAUCGAUCCAAGUCCAAGGUUCGAUCGAUCGAACUUCCUCUAGUGCGAAAAAGUUAAAUUUCUAGCUCACAAAAAGUUUUCCUUUAUCCAAUCAUUGGGGAAUAUUUGUUGUAUGACCCCAUCUCAUUUUGGGUGUCAUUUGACCUACCUAUAUAAGGAUAAGGAUUACUUUUUGUAUAAGAAUAUAUUGCAUCACAUCAUAUCAUACGAUACCUUAGAGAACUCUUAGUGAGGAAGAAAAGAAGAGAAGGAGGCUAGAGACACCAUUGGAGACUCUUCAUCAACCAAGGAGCAGAUUUCUUCCAUGGAGCUUGCCCUUGAGGGUUGGAGGACAUCAUCCAUGAGUGGCUAAACAUCCUCUUGGGGCUAGAGUUAGCCCUAAACAUGCUUUCUACUUCUUGAUUUAUAUAUUUUUGAGGGUAUUUGUAUUGUAAUUCAUGUCUUGACACUUAUAUAUAUAUAGAUCUUGUUUAUUCAA